rnacentral:rRNA from 1 species
UGGACCUACGGGACGCAGCAGUGAGGAAUAUUGGUCAAUGGUCGGGAGACUGAACCAGCCAAGCCGCGUGAGGGAUGAAGGUACAGAGUAUCGUAAACCUCUUUUGUCAGGGAACAAAGGCGGGGACGUGUCCCCGGAUGAGUGUACCUGAAGAAAAAGCAUCGGCUAACUCCGUGCCAGCAGCCGCGGUAAUACGUAGGGGGCAAGCGUUAUCCGGAUUUACUGGGUGUAAAGGGAGCGUAGACGGUGCAGCAAGUCUGAUGUGAAAGGUCGGGGCCCAACCCCGGGACUGCAUUGGAAA